CCGACGCGGGCGUCCGCGAGGCUCCGCCUGCUCCACUUAAACCGCUGGACUCAACAUGGCGGCGCGCGCUCGGCCGCUUGACCUUGGUGUCCCCUAGCGCGGGAGCUCUUCCGCGAGGUGAGACUCAUUUGAACAAGAGAGGCGCCUGCCAAAGCACACUGAACAUGCCUCGGAUAUUCAGGGGAACAUGUCAUCACGGUUUCGGUUCCUGAAAGCACCUUCUCGUGAAUGCUAGCAAUUGUUACUUAGGAAAUUAAAUUUAGAAAACAGAGAGACUUCCCUGGUGGUGCAGUGGUUAAGAAUCCGCCUGCCAAUGCAGGGGACACGGGUUUGAGUCCUGGUCUGGGAAGAUCCCACGUGCUGUGGAGCAACUAAGCCCGUGUGCCACAACUACUGAGCCUGUGCUCUAGAGCCCGCGAGCCACAACUACUGAGCCCACACACCACAACUACUGAAGCCCGCGCACCUAGAGCCCGUGCUCUGCAACAAGAGAAGCCACCGCAAUGAGAAACCUGUGCACCGCAAUGAAGAGUAGUCCCUGCUCGCCGCAACUAGAGAAAGCCCACGCGCAGCAAUGAAGACCCAACACAGCCAAAAAUUAAAAAAUAAAUAAAUAAAUAAAUUUAUAAAAAAAUAAAACAGAUCAACAGCUUUAUCAGCUGUCUCAGUACUAGUUCUCUUAACACCAUGCAGGGCAACGUGGACCCUGCUGGAUAUGACAUGCCUGAUGACGACAUUUAUGAGACCUCUGUCCAAAAGGAAAUUUGACAUUGACCAAGAGAUCUGACCUGUAGUUGCUCUGACAGGCCUUGGUGCUGUCUUCUUGGUUGAGACUUUCUCAGCCAAUGUCAAAUCUGAUUUUGGCAUUAAAGUCCACAUAACCUAGGAUAUACAUGCCCCAGAAUAACUAAGGUACUUCUCAGCCAGUAGUCUGGCUUUGCUGGUAGUCUGUGUUCAGUACACAUAUGAAUCCAUGGAUGUGGGCAUGUUUCUGUGAUAAUAGUAAGCACGUCUCCUCAUCAUUGGAGUUAUUGUUCUGGGAUGACUCAAUCAGAAGUGCAGUUCUAGGAAAGUGGAAUGUUUCCAUUGACAUCCAUCAGAGUGAAACCAAGGAUGGUAGAUGUUCCUAUUACCCAGCAUUGAUGGCUUUACCUCCUUGAGGAAUCCAGGGAUUGUACGGUACCCUGAAGAUCCAAUGCGUUGUCCAGGAGACUGGAGUAUUCAGUUUUGUUUGUCGCAUAUUGUUGGUGAAAGUCAGAGACUGAUUUUGAUGUAUUAGAGAUUCCUUCAUUUACAAGUCUCAGAAAAACUCUUUGCAAAAUAUACUGACACUUUCCGUGAUUUCAAAAUUGCAGUGGUCUCACUCCUGAUGUUGGAAAUGUGUUUGGCUGUCGCAAAUGGCUCCUUGGCAAACAGUGGGCCCUGUUACUCAAAAAAGAAAAGUAUAACUCCUGUUGUUAGGAUUUAGAGUCCAAGAAGUUCAUACUGUUAUUAUUACCUAGUCUGAAAAAGAAAGGUUAGCAAAUUUCCCCAGACAUUGUCUGAGGAAGGGGAUCAAUUAAAAGAGACAUUUAGUGCCUUCCAGUUCUCUUUCCAGAUUCUCCCAAGACAUGCUGGCUGUCCCUACUCUGUAUUCUUAUGUGUGUGCACCACAUACAUUCCUUUAUCAUGAUUCAUAGCACAUUGUACUGGAAUUACUUGUUUGCAAGUCUUUCUCUCGUGCUAGACUGGAGAGCAGAAACCAUGGCUUGCUUGUCUUUGCAUCGCCAGCACUUAGCAAAGAAAUGAACACAUAUUGGACAUACAGAGAACCUGGAGUGAAUUAAUAACUGCAGAACGAAAAGGAGCUUGAGUAUCAAUCAAGAAUUGUGUCCUUGUGUAACCGAAAGUGGGGUCCGGCUGCUUGCCACUCAGAAGCCAAUAAAGAGGCAAGGUUGAUGGAAAGGAAAGUUUGCUUUAUUUUGGAUGCUGGCAACUGGGGAGGAGGGUGGACUUCUGUCCAAAAGCUGACUCCGCCCCUCCCCCCUCCCCCGCCCCCGACAAUCAGGGGGCAAGAGCUUUUAUAGGCAGAGGGAGGGGACUGCACGUAGAAACAGCACGGGCAGCUCUGACCGUCAUCUUGAAAUUGGUCAUCGGUGGUCUGACCAGCGUCCUCUUGACUGUUUUAAGUACAGUUAAUCUCCAGUUCCAGGGUCGGUUUGUUUCCAUUUCUUUGAGGCCAGUUCUCAGAAUUGUGGCAGCUUAUAUGUCAUGGCUACAGUCUGGUCAUCAUGGACUUAACUUCUUCUACCUGGCGGGGGUUUCAGUAUCUAUAAGACAGCUCACAGGAUGUGGCUCAGAAUAUGAUCUGUAGCCCUUGAGGAGGAACUAAAAGGUCCUUGACUUUGCUUAAUGACUAAAUUAUUAUUAUUUGGUCUCCUUUGACUGUUUUCCUUUGCUUCUGCAUUUUCUUACUUCUCUGAUUAAACUUAUUC